rnacentral:rRNA from 1 species
AUUGAACGCUGGCGGCAGGCCUAACACAUGCAAGUCGAGCGGAUGAGAAGAGCUUGCUCUUCGAUUCAGCGGCGGACGGGUGAGUAAUGCCUAGGAAUCUGCCUGGUAGUGGGGGACAACGUUUCGAAAGGAACGCUAAUACCGCAUACGUCCUACGGGAGAAAGCAGGGGACCUUCGGGCCUUGCGCUAUCAGAUGAGCCUAGGUCGGAUUAGCUAGUUGGUGAGGUAAUGGCUCACCAAGGCGACGAUCCGUAACUGGUCUGAGAGGAUGCGCAGUCACACUUGAACUGAGACACGGUCCAGACUCCUACGGGAGGCAGCAGUGGGGAAUAUUUGACAAUGGGCGAAAGCCUGAUCCAGCCAUGCCGCGUAUGUGAAGAAGGUCUUCGGAUUGUAAAGCACUUUAAGUUGGGAGGAAGGGCAGUAAGUUAAUACCUUGCUGUUUUGACGUUACCGACAGAAUAAGCACCGGCUAACUCUGUGCCAGCCGCCGCUGUAAAAC